UACGAGAGGCCCAAACGUUAUUCGGAUUUACUGGGCUUAAAGGGCGCGUAGGCGGGCAAGCAAGUCCGUGGUGAAAGCCCCCAGCUCAACUGGGGAAGUGCCUUGGAAACUGCUUGUCUCGAGGGAGGUAGGGGCCUGUGGAACUUCGGGUGGAGCGGUGAAAUGCGUUGAUAUCCGAAGGAACGCCGGUGGCGAAAGCGACGGGCUGGACCUCUUCUGACGCUGAGGCGCGAAAGCCAGGGGAGCAAACGGG
rnacentral:rRNA from 1 species